GCGGACGUGGCGGAAUGGUAGACGCAGGGGACUUAAAAUCCCUUGGGCAUAGCCCGUGCGGGUUCGAGUCCCGCUGUCCGCACCA
rnacentral:tRNA from 3 species